AUGUGGUCUGUCUGCACGAGGCCGUGUGUCAGCAGCUCCGUCAGCGCUGUCUGUCCUUCCUUCCCCACAGGGCUGAUGGCGGCCGUGACGUUGGACGAGUCCGGGGGCGGCCUCCAGGCACCCAGAGGAGGGAUCAGCCUCGUCUGCAAGGGCUCUGGAUUCACCUUCAGCAGUUACAACAUGCAGUGGGUGCGACAGGCACCCGGCAAGGGGCUGGAAUACGUCGCUGAAAUUAGCAGUGCUGGUAGUGACACAAGAUACGGGGCGGCGGUGCAGGGCCGUGCCACCAUCUCCAGGGACAACGGGCAGAGCACAGUGAGGCUGCAGCUGAACAACCUCAGGGCUGAGGACACCGCCACCUACUGCUGCGCCAAAGAUGCUUAUGGUUGUUCUGGUGCUUACGGUUGUUGGGGUCAUGCUGGUUGCAUUGACUUGACAGGGACACAUUGUGCAUCUGCAUCUGGGAAGGUUCCAGCUGGGACUCAGAGCUCUGUGCUGGGAGCAGAGAAUUUUAUCCCCAGCAACACCGUCUCCAUUACCAUCACCUUUUCCAUUCCUGUUUCCAUGUCUAUUUCAAGACCUGUAUCCAUAACCAUGACCAUAACCAUCACCAUCUGCUUUACAGUAUUCAUAUCCAAAUCCACUUCCAUCACAUUUCUGUGA